rnacentral:rRNA from 1 species
CAGCCGCCGCGGGAAUACGGAGGGUGCAAGCGUUGUCCGGAUUUAUUGGGUUUAAAGGGUGCGUAGGCGGCCUAAUAAGUCAGUGGUGAAAGCCUCCAGCUUAACUGGAGAACUGCCAUUGAUACUGUUAGGCUUGAGUAUACUUGAGGUAGGCGGAAUUGACAGUGUAGCGGUGAAAUGCAUAGAUAUUGUCAAGAACACCAAUUGCGAAGGCAGCUUACUAAAUUAUAACUGACGCUGAGGCACGAAAGUGUGGGUAUCAAACAGGAUUAGAUACCCGCGUAGUCCCUGUCUCUUAUAC